rnacentral:misc_RNA from 1 species
AUACGAUCGCUGGUACGGCAAGGACAAUGCGUUCGAUCAGGAAUUGCGCGACCGUUUCAUGGGCCUGUGGGAAGCGGCCUGCGACAGCAAGCUGGGCGCAUGGCAGGACACCGACGACGGCGCGCUGGCGCUCGUGAUCGUGCUCGACCAGUUUCCCCGCAACAUGUUCCGCAACGAUCCGCGCGCAUCCUUAACGGACCCCCUCGCCCGCGCGGUUGCCACACGCGCUAUCGCGGAAGGCCGUGACCUGCGCGCCGA